rnacentral:rRNA from 1 species
UCAAGUUAUUAAGGGUGCAGGGCGGAUGCCUUGGCACUAGGAGCCGAUGAAGGACGUGAUAAGCUGCGAUAAGCUUCGGGGAGUUGCACGUAAACUUUGAUCCGAAGAUUUCCGAAUGAGGAAACUCACUUAGAGUAAUGUCUAAGUAUCGUUAAGUGAAUACAUAGCUUAGCGAGGGGAACCCGGGGAACUGAAACAUCUAAGUACCCGGAGGAAGAGAAAGAAAUUCGAUUCCGUAAGUAGCGGCGAGCGAACGCGGAACAGGCCAAACCAAUGAAGUUUACUUCGUUGGGGUUGCGGACAUACAACAUGGAUGCAAUAUCGUAAAUGAAGAGAGUUGGAAAGCUCCGCCAUAGAAGGUAAUAGCCCUGUAGUUGAAACGAGAAAGCUACUAGUAUGAUCCAGAGUACCACGGGACACGUGAAACCCUGUGGGAAGCAGGAGGGACCAUCCUCCAAGCCUAAAUACUACCUAGUGACCGAUAGCGCAUAGUACCGUGAGGGAAAGGUGAAAAGAACCCCGGGAGGGGAGUGAAAUAGAACCUGAAACCCUGCACUUACAAGCUGUGGGAGCACAUUACUUGUGUGACCGCGUACUUUUUGUAGAACGGGCCAACGAGUUACGUUAAGUAGCAAGGUUAAGCACUUAAGGUGUGGAGCCGUAGCGAAAGCGAGUCUUAAAUGGGCGAUUAAGUUACUUGGCGUAGACCCGAAACCGGGCGACCUAUCCAUGAGCAGGUUGAAGCGAAAGUAAAAUUUCGUGGAGGACCGAACCCACGAGCGUUGAAAAGCUCGGGGAUGACUUGUGGAUAGCGGUGAAAUUCCAAUCGAGCCCGGAGAUAGCUGGUUCUCCCCGAAAUAGCUUUAGGGCUAGCCUCAAGCGUAGAGAAACGGAGGUAGAGCACUGAAUGUCCUAGGGGGUAUUGCACUUACCGAAGACUAUCAAACUCCGAAUGCCGUUUUCUUUUACUUGGGAGUCAGACUGUGGGUGAUAAGAUUCAUAGUCAAAAGGGAAACAGCCCAGAUCGUCAGCUAAGGUCCCUAAAUGUACGUUAAGUGGUAAAGGAUGUGGGAUUGCACAGACAACCAGGAUGUUGGCUUAGAAGCAGCCACUCAUUUAAAGAGUGCGUAAUAGCUCACUGGUCGAGUGAUCCUGCGCCGAAAAUUUCCGGGGCUAAAACGUACUACCGAAGCUACGGCAUCAUUUAUGAUGGGUAGGGGAGCUUCGUAUGCAGGCUGAAGCAUGACCGUAAGGACAUGUGGACAGUAUACGAGUGAGAAUGUUGGCAUGAGUAGCGAGAGGCAGGUGAGAAUCCCACGGGCCGUAAACCCAAGGUUUCCAGGGAAAGGUUCGUCCGCCCUGGGUUAGUCGGGACCUAAGCCGAGGCCGAAAGGCGUAGGCGAUGGACAACAGGUUGAUAUUCCUGUACCGCCAAUAAGCGUUUGAGAGAUGGAGUGACACAGUAGGAUAAGCUAACCGUACUGUUGGUUAUGUACGGCUAAGCAUUGAGGCAGUCUAAAUAGGCAAAUCCGUUUAGACAAUGCUAGGAUGUGAUGGGGAAGCCCUUCGGGGCGAAGUAGCUGAUUUCACACUGUCAAGAAAAGCUUCUAUCGAGUUUAAAGGCGCCCGUACCGUAAACCGACACAGGUGGGUGAGGAGAGUAUCCUAAGGCCAGCGAGAGAACUAUUGUUAAGGAACUCGGCAAAAUGACCCCGUAACUUAGGGAGAAGGGGUGCCUGUCUAUGACAGGCCGCAGAGAAUAGGCCCAAGCGACUGUUUACCAAAAACACAGGUUUCUGCUAAGUCGCAAGACGAUGUAUAGGAGCUGACGCCUGCCCGGUGCUGGAAGGUUAAGGGGAUCUGUUAGAGCAAUCGAAGCAGUGAACUUAAGCCCCAGUAAACGGCGGCCGUAACUAUAACGGUCCUAAGGUAGCGAAAUUCCUUGUCGGGUAAGUUCCGACCCGCACGAAAGGCGUAACGAUUUGGGCACUGUCUCAACAAUAGACUCGGUGAAAUUGUAGUACCGGUGAAGAUGCCGGUUACCUGCGACAAGACGGAAAGACCCC